rnacentral:rRNA from 1 species
AGUGAACGCUGGCGGUAGGCCUAACACAUGCAAGUCGAACGGCAGCACAGUAAGAGCUUGCUCUUACGGGUGGCGAGUGGCGGACGGGUGAGGAAUACAUCGGAAUCUACUUUUUCGUGGGGAUAACGUAGGGAAACUUACGCUUAUACCGGCUUCGACCUUCGGGGGGAAGGAGGGGGUUUUUCGACCUUGGGCGGCUGGAUUAGCCGAUUUCGGAGUAGCUGGUUGGCGGGGUAAAGGCCCACCAAGGCGACGGUCCGUAGCUGGGCUUGGAGGAGGAUCAGCCACCCUGGAACUGAGACACGGUCCAGACUCCUACGGGAGGCAGCAGUGGGGAAUAUUGGACAAUGGGCGCAAGCCUGAUCCAGCCAUACCGCGUGGGUGAAGAAGGCCUUCGGGUUGUAAAGCCCUUUUGUUGGGAAAGAAAAGCAGCAGGUUAAUACCCCGCUGUUCUGACGGUACCCAAAGAAUAAGCACCGGCUAACUUCGUG